rnacentral:rRNA from 1 species
AUGAGAGAAUCUCCGGCGGGCGACCGGCUGAGCAACCUGCCGGACUGCCUCCUCCACAGCAUCCUGUCCCGUCUCAACUGUCGGCAGGUGGUGCAGACCCUAGCGCUCUCGCGGCGAUGGCGACACCUCUGGCUCGACGUGCCGUGCCUCCACAUCGACACCCGAGAGUUCCGGAUCCGAUCUGCGCAUGAAAACCAGCACCAACACGGGAACAGGAUCGAGCAGCAGAAGGAGCGGGAGGUGGAGUUUGGCAAGUUCGAGGACUUCGUCGACUACCUCCUGUUCCACCGCAGCGCCGCCAGGUCGACGCUGGAUACCUUGCGGCUGCACAUCCAUGACAACUUUGGCCGGAUCACGACCUACGGCCGGUGGGUUCGCCGCGGCCUCAGGUGCUCCCCGGAAACGCUCGACGUCUCCCACGGCGGAGAGCGCGAAGUUGUCGUGUUACCUCCGCUGUCUUCCUCCUCCGGUGCCCAUCGCCUCACAAAGCUACGCCUUGUUCGCGUGCUCCUCCCCUGGAAUUUCGAGGAGCUGCUCAGCUCGGGCCUUCCCGUCCUGGAAGACCUGGAGAUCAGGAGCAGCUCGUUGCACGGGGUCUCCGGUAUCGCGUCCACCAGUCUCAAGAACCUCAUUGUCGACCCCUACAGCUGCACUGCAGACUAUGGCAACCUGAGCACCGCCUUUGCUGUGGUCGUCCCACGCCUCGCCUCUCUGCACCUCGGCCUUGAGCAAUGCGGCAGCUACAGGAGCCAACGGUACCGUGAUAUCACCGUGGCGCCUUCUCUUCUUCUCCAAGCAUCCAUCCGCCUCUCAGCCAAGAUGGAUGAUGAGAAACCGGAGGUGGCUGCAUACUUGCUAACAACCUUGUGCAAGCUUCUCAGCUCUCUAUCCAACGUUAGUAGAUUGGAGUUGUCAGGCUUCCAGAAAACAAUGGUAGCCAAGCGCACGUCACAUGCACCUCCUCCGUCUGCAUAUCCUGGGUCUCCAUUUUGGACAGCUCCCCAUCCUUUUCAGGGGACCGCGGCGGCGAUACUUGUGGCGAUACUAGACAAGGAUCAUUAUGGCUUACCAGUAUUCGAUAACCUAAGAACCCUUAUCUUUGAUAAAUGUGUGAUGGGCAACAUCAUCAACACAUUACGUCAUUUUCUGACAUACACCCCUGUCAUCGAGAAGCUUCUUGUGCAACAUUGCAAGUUUGUGGUUUCUUCGGAAGAGAAGAAGCAACAAGAGAGCCGAAAGCUGAGUGCAGCCUCCAGCCUGAAGCUAGUAGAAAUUAAGUACAUAGAUGAUGAUCGUCAUGACGACCGUCUAGGAAGAGGACAAGGUACUCGACGCAUCAAUAAGAUUUUGCCCAUGCUAGAAGAGAUGCUGCCGGCAACCACCAUUAUCCGAGCUACCAGAGAUGAAAAAAACGCAUCCAUGGCCUGGAAUGAGCCAUGGAAUGUCGACUCCUCAAGCGACAGCGACACCAGCAGUCCCGCUUUAAGCGAGGAUUUGGGUACGCCGCCACUGCCCGACACCAGCAGUCCCGCUUUAAGCGAGGAUUUGGGUACGCCGCCACUGCCCUUCGUCCCUUACACUUUGGACGACUUCAACUUUAUCAAGGUCAUCGAAGGGACAAAGGAGACCGACUCAGAGUUGGAGUAUCCCAGGUUAGAGGAGGAGUUGGACAAGGACAACGACGACCAUCCGAUGGUCAGCAGCAAGCGUCCUCGCCCAGAUGAUGACCCGGAUGGGGCAUCCAAGAAGAAGAAGGACUAG